rnacentral:rRNA from 1 species
GACGAACGCUGGCGGCGUGCUUAACACAUGCAAGUCGAACGUGAUUUUUGUAGAAAUUCCUUCGGGAAUGGAAAUGAAAUGAAAGUGGCGAACGGGUGAGUAACACGUGAGCAACCUACCUUACACAGGGGGAUAGCCGUUGGAAACGACGAUUAAUACCGCAUGAGACCACAGAAUCGCAUGAUAUAGGGGUCAAAGAUUUAUCGGUGUAAGAAGGGCUCGCGUCUGAUUAGCUAGUUGGAAGGGUAAAGGCCUACCAAGGCGACGAUCAGUAGCCGGUCUGAGAGGAUGAACGGCCACAUUGGAACUGAGACACGGUCCAAACUCCUACGGGAGGCAGCAGUGGGGAAUAUUGCACAAUGGGGGGAACCCUGAUGCAGCGACGCCGCGUGAGCGAAGAAGGUUUUCGAAUCGUAAAGCUCUGUCCUAUGAGAAGAUAAUGACGGUAUCAUAGGAGGAAGCCCCGGCUAAAUACGUGCCAGCAGCCGCGGUAAUACGUAUGGGGCGAGCGUUGUCCGGAAUUAUUGGGCGUAAAGGGUACGUAGGCGGUUUUUUAAGUCAGGUGUGAAGGCGUGAGGCUUAACCUCACUAAGCACUUGAAACUGGAAGACUUGAGUGAAGGAGAGGAAAGUGGAAUUCCUAGUGUAGCGGUGAAAUGCGUAGAUAUUAGGAGGAAUACCGGUGGCGAAGGCGACUUUCUGGACUUUUACUGACGCUCAGGUACGAAAGCGUGGGGAGCAAACAGG